ACUGCCUCAUUCAAAGAGAACAGAGCCUCAUUUGUAACUGUUUAUUUGCUUAUUUACAGUGGUAGAUCUAAUGGUCCAAUAGCCACUUUGGCACAGGGAGUGGAAAGGAGCCAACCCAAGGUACCGAAUCUCUGCCUGAGUUCUUGGGUCUCUGAUCCUCCCUUCCCUUCUUUGCCUUUCUUCUCGAUCCCCCCCCCCCCAACCUGGUUUUCCACUCUUCUCCCAAGGGCAUGGUUGCUCUUCACCACCUUCACUCUUCGUAUCUCUAAUCUUCACUACUGUACCAACAGGCCAUACCCCUGUGUGCAUGGCAAGCACCCCAAAGGACAAGAUCUGAUUGGUUGGACCUCUCUCCCUCUUGGAUACAACGUCUCCACUCGGAAGAACUCUAGAAACAGUCCUUUGGAUGGUCGGCCAUCGCAUCAGAUGGCCCAUUCCUGGCUUUCCUUCUGAGCAAGACUUCUACAAUUCACAGUCUGUCAAGAAUAUCAAUUGUUUUCAAGAGAGAGACAUUUUGUCUGUAGAAAUAAAAGGGGUCCUCCAUCGUCA
rnacentral:lncRNA from 1 species